rnacentral:rRNA from 1 species
CAGCAGCCACGGUAAUACGAAGGGGGCUAGCGUUGUUCGGAAUUACUGGGCGUAAAGGGCGCGUAGGCGGCCAUUCAAGUUAGAUGUGAAAGCCCUGGGCCCAACCUAGGAAUUGCAUUUGAUACUGUUUGGCUUGAGUUCGGGAGAGGUGAGUGGAAUUCCCAGUGUAGAGGUGAAAUUCGUAGAUAUUGGGAAGAACACCAGUGGCGAAGGCGGCUCACUGGACCGACACUGACGCUGAGGCGCGAAAGCGUGGGGAGCAAACAGGAUUAGAUACCCCCGUAGUCCCUGUCUCUUAUAA